GUCGCUUUAGUCGAGUGGCUAAGGCGUGCGCUGCUAAGGUGUUCCGCGAGAGUUUGAAUCUCUCAAGCGAUG
rnacentral:tRNA from 1 species